AUUGAACGCUGGCGGCAUGCCUUACACAUGCAAGUCGAACGGUAACAGGUCUUUCGGGAUGCUGACGAGUGGCGAACGGGUGAGUAAUACAUCGGAACGUGCCUAGUAGUGGGGGAUAACUACUCGAAAGAGUGGCUAAUACCGCAUGAGAUCUAUGGAUGAAAGCAGGGGACCUUCGGGCCUUGUGCUACUAGAGCGGCCGAUGGCAGAUUAGGUAGUUGGUGGGAUAAAAGCUUACCAAGCCUGCGAUCUGUAGCUGGUCUGAGAGGACGAUCAGCCACACUGGGACUGAGACACGGCCCAGACUCCUACGGGAGGCAGCAGUGGGGAAUUUUGGACAAUGGGGGAAACCCUGAUCCAGCAAUGCCGCGUGCAGGAUGAAGGCCUUCGGGUUGUAAACUGCUUUUGUACGGAACGAAAAGUCUUGGGUUAAUACCCUGGGAUCAUGACGGUACCGUAAGAAUAAGCACCGGCUAACUACGUGCCAGCCGCCGCGGUAAUAC
rnacentral:rRNA from 1 species